UACAGAGACUGCAAGCGUUAUUCGGAUUCACUGGGCGUAAAGCGUGCGCAGGCGGUUUUGUAAGCCGGAUGUGAAAUCCCCGGGCUUAACCUGGGAAUGGCAUUCGGGACUGCAAGGCUGGAGUGCGGCAGAGGAGACUGGAAUUCCUGGUGUAGCAGUGAAAUGCGUAGAUAUCAGGAGGAACACCGAUGGCGAAGGCAGGUCUCUGGGCUGACACUGACGCUCAUGCACGAAAGCGUGGGGAGCAAACAGG
rnacentral:rRNA from 1 species